CCUACGGGUGGCAGCAGUGGGGAAUCUUCCGCAAUGGGCGCAAGCCUGACGGAGCAAUGCCGCGUGAACGAAGAAGGUCUUCGGAUUGUAAAGUUCUGUCCUUAUCGAAGAGAGAGCAUAGAGUGAAAAAUGAUAUACUAGGACGGUAGAUGAGGAGGAAGCCCCGGCUACCUACGUGCCAGCAGCCGCGGUAAUACGUAGGGGGCGAGCGUUGUCCGGAAUCACUGGGCGUAAAGUGCGCGUAGGCGGUAAGAUAAGUCAGAUGUGAAAGGUGGGGGCUCAACCCGUAGAGUGCAACUAGUACUGUAAGACUUGAGUGUGAGAGAGGGAAGCGGAAUGCCUAGUGUAGCAGUGAAAUGCGUAGAUAUUAGGAGGAACACCGGUGGCGAAGGCGGCUUUCUGGGUCAUAACUGACGCUGAGGCGCGAAAGCGUGGGGAGCAAACAGGAUUAGAUACCCCGGUAGUC
rnacentral:rRNA from 1 species